ACAUGCGCCAUUUAUGCUCUGGUAUUAACCGAAUAACCCUAGAGGCGCCAUUAUCUUCUCCUACCCACGCAUUCACACAUCCAAGCUACAAAAUCUCUUCAAGCUACAACAUAUCUUCACGCAUCAAUGCAUUCAACAACACUUGGAAGCUAUGCAAGGUACGUAUGCUAACAGCGAGGAGAGCUAUUGUCGUUCAAGGGUUUGCUAUAGCGAUGCAAAAUCCAUAUGUUAUUGUCACUGUGGCCAAAGAUUGAAGAUACGGACAUCGUGGACGGAUGUAAACCCGGGAAGAAGGUAUUGGGACUGUUCCUAUGAUAAUCAAGGGAUUGGAGGGGAUUGGUGGCUGUGGAUUUGUGAGAUGGUUUGACCCUCCAAUGUGUUCAAAAUCCAAGGUGAUUAUUUCCAGGUUGCUACGAAGAAUAAACGGGAUGAGCAAGAAAUUGAAGUCCUAAAAGCUAAGAUUAGAGACACUGCAGGCAUUAAAGGCUCCUAAUUCCAGUGUGAAACUAAAAUUGAAGUCUUUGUGUAGAGUUGUGUUAAUUUUAUUUCUUGUUGUAGCAAUGUUUGUGUUUGUUAGCAAUUUCAAGACUAGUAGUGAUGGGUUUGGAAAGCUUUUUUUUAGCUUGAGGGUGGUUGAAAGUGAAAAUGUAGAAUUUGAAGUAUUUGAAAAAGUUGUUGAAAUGCAAUAUGAAUGUUCAGUUUAAGGUUUUCUCAA